rnacentral:rRNA from 1 species
UACGUAGGGUGCGAGCGUUGUCCGGAAUUAUUGGGCGUAAAGAGCUCGUAGGCGGUGUGUCACGUCGGCCGUGAAAACCUGCAGCUUAACUGUGGGCGUGCGGUCGAUACGGGCAUCACUGGAGUUCGGCAGGGGAGACUGGAAUUCCUGGUGUAGCGGUGGAAUGCGCAGAUAUCAGGAGGAACACCAAUGGCGAAGGCAGCUCUCUGGGACGGUACUGACGCUGAGACGCGAAAGCGUGGGGAGCGAACAGG